CCUACGGGAGGCUGCAGUGAGGAAUAUUGGUCAAUGGACGAGAGUCUGAACCAGCCAAGUAGCGUGAAGGAUGACUGCCCUAUGGGUUGUAAACUUCUUUUAUAUGGGAAUAAAACGUUCCACGUGUGGGAUUUUGUAUGUACCAUAUGAAUAAGGAUCGGCUAACUCCGUGCCAGCAGCCGCGGUAAUACGGAGGAUCCGAGCGUUAUCCGGAUUUAUUGGGUUUAAAGGGAGCGUAGGUGGAUUGUUAAGUCAGUUGUGAAAGUUUGCGGCUCAACCGUAAAAUUGCAGUUGAAACUGGCAGUCUUGAGCACAGUAGAGGUGGGCGGAAUUCGUGGUGUAGCGGUGAAAUGCUUAGAUAUCACGAAGAACUCCGAUUGCGAAGGCAGUUCACUGGACUGCAACUGACACUGAGGCUCGAAAGUGUGGGUAUCAAACAGGAUUAGAUACCCCAGUAGUC
rnacentral:rRNA from 1 species